rnacentral:rRNA from 1 species
CCUACGGGAGGCAGCAGUGGGGAAUAUUGCACAAUGGGCGCAAGCCUGAUGCAGCGACGCCGCGUGAGGGAUGACGGCCUUCGGGUUGUAAACCUCUUUCAGCAGGGACGAAGCGCAAGUGACGGUACCUGCAGAAGAAGCACCGGCCAACUACGUGCCAGCAGCCGCGGUAAUACGUAGGGUGCAAGCGUUGUCCGGAAUUACUGGGCGUAAAGAGCUCGUAGGCGGUUUGUCGCGUCGUCUGUGAAAACCCAGCAGCUCAACUGUUGGCUUGCAGGCGAUACGGGCAGACUUGAGUAUUUCAGGGGAGACUGGAAUUCCUGGUGUAGCGGUGAAAUGCGCAGAUAUCAGGAGGAACACCGGUGGCGAAGGCGGGUCUCUGGGAAAUAACUGACGCUGAGGAGCGAAAGCGUGGGUAGCGAACAGGAUUAGAUACCCUGGUAGUCCACGCCGUAAACGGUGGGCGCUAGGUGUGGGUUUCCUUCCACGGGUAUCCGUGCCGUAGCUAACGCAUUAAGCGCCCCGCCUGGGGAGUCGGCCGCAAGGCUAAAACUUAAUGAAUUGACGGCUGAGACGNGCGACGGCGACGACGAGGGAGUAGG